AUUGAACGCUGGCGGCAUGCUUUACACAUGCAAGUCGAACGGUAACAGGCCUUCGGGCGCUGACGAGUGGCGAACGGGUGAGUAAUGCAUCGGAACGUGCCCAGUCGUGGGGGGUAACUAUCCGAAAGGAUAGCUAAUACCGCAUACGAUCUGCGGAUGAAAGCGGGGGACCUUCGGGCCUCGCGCGAUUGGAGCGGCCGAUGUCAGAUUAGGUAGUUGGUGGGGUAAAGGCUCAACAAGCCAACGAUCUGUAGCUGGUCUGAGAGGACGACCCGCCACACGGGGACUGAGACACGGCCCAGACUCCUACGGGAGGCAGCAGUGGGGAAUUUUGGACAAUGGGCGCAAGCCUGAUCCAGCAAUGCCGCGUGCAGGAAGAAGGCCUUCGGGUCGUGAACUGCUUUUGUACGGAACGAAACGGCUCUGGUUAAUACCCGGGGCUAAUGACGGUACCGUAAGAAUAAGCACCGGCUAACUACGUGCCAGCCGCCGCCGUAAGAC
rnacentral:rRNA from 1 species